rnacentral:lncRNA from 1 species
GAUGAUGAGAAUGCAAGAAAACACAGAGAAGAGAUCCUCUCUUAUUCAAUCAGCAAUAAGAUAAGAGAUGGUUUAGGCAUGGUUGUUGUUCUCCUCCACUGGAGGGUGCUUCUUGUAUGGUGGCUUUUUGUAUGGUGGCUUGUAAUAUGGUGGUUUAUGCUUGUAAACUGGUGGCUUGUAAAUAGGAUGCUUAUAGACUGGAGGCUUGUAAAUAGGAUGCUUCUUAAUGGGUUUGUAAUAAGUGGCCAAACCUUGAGGAAUGAGGAUAAGAGCAGCAAGAAGUAACACCAGAAAGGAUAAAAAGGAAGCCAUGAUUAGGGUUGGAGUGCAUAAC